UAGAAAUAGGUAGCGAGCUAUCUGCUUCAUUCAUUAAGUAAAAUGAAUUCAGCGUAUAAAGAUGGAAGCAGCCUAGGUCUCCGAGAGAAAAAUAGAUAACAGGUCAAAGAGAAAAAAAAGAUGUGAGGAGAGGGUGAAAAGGAAGAGUAAGCCUGAUGUCGCUUUAUGUCAGCACGGUCCAGUCGGUCGUAAGAAGAUUAAUACGUUCCGGAGAGCGGGCUGCAUCAGGCGUAGUUGUCUGAAAAACGGAGUUGUUUCUGUCCCUCCAGACUACUCAGCAG
rnacentral:lncRNA from 1 species